GCCACUGUGUUGUAGUCGGUUAGCAUGACGACCUCAUAUUUGUGAAGUUAGUCGUAGACCCGAGUUCGAUUCUCGGCGGAGGCA